UGGGUUGUGGCUUAGCGGUAGAGCGCUCGCCUAGCAUGUGUGAAGCCCUGGGUUCAAUCCUCAGCACCACAA
rnacentral:tRNA from 1 species